rnacentral:miRNA from 1 species
CAGUGAUAUUGUCUAUCUU